rnacentral:rRNA from 1 species
UGACCUCGGAUCAGGUAGGGAUACCCGCUGAACUUAAGCAUAUCAAUAAGCGGAGGAAAAGAAACCAACAGGGAUUGCCCUAGUAACGGCGAGUGAAGCGGCAACAGCUCAAAUUUGAAAUCUGGCGUCUUUGGCGUCCGAGUUGUAAUUUGCAGAGGGCGCUUUGGCAUUGGCAGCGGUCCAAGUUCCUUGGAACAGGACGUCACAGAGGGUGAGAAUCCCGUACGUGGUCGCUAGCCUUUACCGUGUAAAGCCCCUUCGACGAGUCGAGUUGUUUGGGAAUGCAGCUCUAAAUGGGAGGUAAAUUUCUUCUAAAGCUAAAUACUGGCCAGAGACCGAUAGCGCACAAGUAGAGUGAUCGAAAGAUGAAAAGCACUUUGGAAAGAGAGUUAAAAAGCACGUGAAAUUGUUGAAAGGGAAGCGCUUGCAGCCAGACUUGCCUGUAGUUGCUCAUCCGGGUUUUUACCCGGUGCACUCUUCUAUAGGCAGGCCAGCAUCAGUUUGGGCGGUUGGAUAAAGGUCUCUGUCAUGUACCUCUCUUCGGGGAGAACUUAUAGGGGAGACGACAUGCAACCAGCCUGGACUGAGGUCCGCGCAUCUGCUAGGAUGCUGGCGUAAUGGCUGUAAGCGGCCCGUCUUGAAACACGGACC